UAGGAUAAUUUAGGAGCUUUUUAUUGUAAUAAAAUACCUUUUGAAUGACACAGAUUUUUAUGUUGGCUAGGUGAUGACAAUGGAUAAUUGCGUGAAAAUUAAACUAAAAGAAUGCAAUCUUGAGGAGUUAAUCCCCACAUUUGAAGCACAGGAGCGAACCUUUCCUCGUUUUUAGGUCAAUUUGAAUACAAUUCAGAGGGGUGGCAUGGGGGCGCAGUGGGUAGUGCUGUCGCAUCACAGCAAGAUGGUCGCUGGUUUGAGCCUUGGAUGGGUUUCCCCUCCACAGUCCAAUGACAUGCGGUGUAGCUGAAUUGGAUUGGGACCAAUAUUGCUGAGUAUCUUCAUCCAUUGAAUUCAAGAAUCUAUUGAGUUUCCUCAUGUUCUCAUCCUUGGAGACCACCACUUCUUUCAAGCCUUUGCUCACGUGCUGUGCUAUUUAUUAUUGCAAAGUACAUUACUUGCCAAAGUGGACGUUUGCUAUAAAGCAUUCUACAUCUUUGGUGUGAACUACCCCAAGCAGUGUUCCCUGGUGUGGCAGACUGUGGUUUAUGGACAUCCUGGGGAGGAGACACUAGCAGUAAGGGUUCUGCUAGCAUUAAUUUUUGCUGACAAACAGUAAUAAUUAAUACUGUGACCUCACUGCUUCCUUGG
ensembl:processed_transcript